CGGAAUUACUGGGCGUAAAGAGCUCGUAGGCGGCGUUGCAAGUAGGGUGUGAAAGCCCUCGGCUCAACCGAGGAAUUGCGCUCUAAACUGCAGUGCUCGAGGAAGCUAGAGGUGAGCAGAACAGAUGGUGGAGCGGUGAAAUGCGUUGAUAUCAUCUGGAAUACCGGAGGCGAAGGCGGCUCACUGGGGCUUUUCUGACGCUGAGGAACGAAAGCCAGGGGAGCGAACGGG
rnacentral:rRNA from 1 species